rnacentral:rRNA from 1 species
AUGGAGUUUACUGCGACAAGCAGUAGGUUUUCUAAAGGAGAGGAGGUGGAGGAGGAGCAGGAAGAGGCGUCGAUGCGCGAGAUCCCUUUCAUGACGGCCGCGGCCGCCACCAGCGCCGCCGCACCUUCUGCUUCUGCGUCGGCCUCGACACUCGCGUCAGCGUCCGCGUCUGCAUCGCCAUAUGGAAGUAGCCCUCCCUUUCGGUCUGGGGAUGACGCCGGAGCGUCGGGGAGCGGGGGCGGCGGCGUGGCGGAGGCGGCGGAGAAGGAGCACAUGUUCGACAAGGUGGUGACGCCGAGCGACGUGGGGAAGCUGAACCGGCUGGUCAUCCCCAAGCAGUACGCCGAGAAGUACUUCCCGCUGGACUCGGCGGCCAACGAGAAGGGCCUCCUGCUCAACUUCGAGGACAGCGCCGGGAAGCCAUGGCGCUUCCGCUAUUCCUACUGGAACAGCAGCCAGAGCUACGUCAUGACCAAAGGGUGGAGCCGCUUCGUCAAGGAGAAGCGCCUCGACGCUGGGGACACCGUCUCCUUCUCCCGCGGCGCCGGCGAGGCCGUGCGACACCGCCUCUUCAUCGACUGGAAGCGCCGAGCCGACACCAGAGACCCGCUCCGCUUGCCCCGCCUCCCGCUUCCGAUGCCGCUAACGUCGCACUACAGCCCGUGGGGCCUCGGCGCCGGCGGCAGAGGGUUCUUCAUGCCGCCCUCGCCGCCAGCCACGCUCUACGAGCACCGUCUCCGUCAGGGCUUCGACUUCCGCGGCAUGAACCCCAGUUACCCCACAAUGGGGAGGCAGGUCAUCCUCUUCGGCUCGGCCGCCAGGAUGCCUCUGCACACACCAGCGCCACUCCUCGUGCCGCGCCCGCCGCCGCCGCUGCACUUCACGGUGCAACAACAAGGCAGCGGCGCCGGCGUAAGUGCCGCCGGGUCCCCAGUGGUGCUCGACUCGGUGCCGGUAAUCGAAAGCCCGACGACGGCAACCAAGAAGCGCGUGCGCUUGUUCGGCGUGAACCUUGACAACCCGCAGCAUCCCGGCGAUGGCGGGGGCGAGUCGAGCAAUUAUGGCAGUGCACUGCCAUUGCAGAUGCCCGCAUCAGCAUGGCGGCCAAGGGACCAUACGCUGAGGCUGCUAGAGUUCCCCUCGCACGGUGCCGGUGCCGAGGCAUCGUCUCCGUCGUCGUCGUCGUCUUCCAAGAGGGAGGCGCAUUCGGGCUUGGAUCUCGAUCUGUGA